rnacentral:rRNA from 1 species
ACACGGAGGAUGCGAGCGUUAUCCGGAUUUAUUGGGUUUAAAGGGUGCGUAGGCUGUGCGUUAAGUCAGGGGUGAAAUGCCGUCGCUCAACGACGGAGCUGCCCUUGAUACUGGCGUGCUGGAGUACGGAUGCCGUUGGAGGAAUGAGUGGUGUAGCGGUGAAAUGCUUAGAUAUCACUCGGAACACCGAUUGCGAAGGCAUCUGACGAAUCCGUCACUGACGCUGAGGCACGAAAGCGUGGGGAUAGAACAGGAUUAGAUACCCUGGUAUUCCACGCCGUAAACGAUGAUGACUAACCGUCGGCGAUAGACAGCCGGUGGCCAAGCGAAAGCGAUAAGUCAUCCACCUGGGGAGUACGUCGGCAACGAUGGAACUCAAAGGAAUUGACGGGG